CCGCAAGGGAGUGGCAGACGGGUGUAUAACGCGUGGGAAUCUACCGUGCCCUGCGGAAUAGCUCCGGGAAACUGGAAUUAAUACCGCAUACGCCCUACGGGGGAAAGAUUUAUCGGGGUAUGAUGAGCCCGCGUUGGAUUAGCUAGUUGGUGGGGUAAAGGCCUACCAAGGCGACGAUCCAUAGCUGGUCUGAGAGGAUGAUCAGCCACAUUGGGACUGAGACACGGCCCAAACUCCUACGGGAGGCAGCAGUGGGGAAUAUUGGACAAUGGGCGCAAGCCUGAUCCAGCCAUGCCGCGUGAGUGAUGAAGGCCUUAGGGUUGUAAAGCUCUUUCACCGGAGAAGAUAAUGACGGUAUCCGGAGAAGAAGCCCCGGCUAACUUCGUGCCAGCAGCCGCGGUAAUACGAAGGGGGCUAGCGUUGUUCGGAAUUACUGGGCGUAAAGCGCACGUAGGCGGAUAUUUAAGUCAGGGGUGAAAUCCCAGAGCUCAACUCUGGAACUGCCUUUGAUACUGGGUAUCUUGAGUAUGGAAGAGGUAAGUGGAAUUCCGAGUGUAGAGGUGAAAUUCGUAGAUAUUCGGAGGAACACCAGUGGCGAAGGCGGCUUACUGGUCAUUACUGACGCUGAGGUGCAAAAGCGUG
rnacentral:rRNA from 1 species